GACGAACCGUGCGAACGUUAUUCGGAAUCAUUGGGCUUAAAGCGCGUGUAGGCGGAUUCGUGCGUCUGUCGCUGAAAUCCCCCGGCUCAACCGGGGAACGGGCGCGGAUACGACGAGUCUGGAGGGGCAUAGGGGGACCUGGAACUUCCGAUGGAGCGGUGAAAUGCGUUGAGAUCGGAAGGAACGCCCGUGGCGAAAGCGAGGUCCUGGAUGCCUACUGACGCUGAGACGCGAAAGCCAGGGGAGCGAACGGG
rnacentral:rRNA from 1 species